GUACCUACGGGAGGCAGCAGUGGGGAAUAUUGCACAAUGGGGGAAACCCUGAUGCAGCGACGCCGCGUGAGUGAAGAAGUAUUUCGGUAUGUAAAGCUCUAUCAGCAGGGAAGAAAAAAGACGGUACCUGACUAAGAAGCCCCGGCUAACUAAGUGCCAGCAGCCGCGGUAAUACGUAGGGGGCAAGCGGUAUCCGGAUUUACUGGGUGUAAAGAGAGCGUAGAUGGUGCGUGAAGUCUGAAGUGAAAGCGCGGGGCUUAACCCCGG
rnacentral:rRNA from 1 species